AAGAAAUUAGCUCAAAUUGGUUAGAGCAUCCGUUUAUUGAAUGGAAGGUUAAGUGUUCAAAUCACUUAUUUCUUU
rnacentral:tRNA from 1 species